AUUGAACGCUGGCGGCAGGCCUAACACAUGCAAGUCGAGCGGAUGAAGGGAGCUUGCUCCUGGAUUCAGCGGCGGACGGGUGAGUAAUGCCUAGGAAUCUGCCUGGUAGUGGGGGAUAACGUCCGGAAACGGGCGCUAUUACGCCAACCGUCCUGAGGGAGAAAGUGGGGGAUCUUCGGCCCUACCGCUAUCAGUGGAGCCUAGGUCGGAUUAGCUAGUUGGUGGGGUAAAGGCCUACCAAGGCGACGAUCCGUAACUGGUCUGAGAGGAUGAUCAGUCACACUGGAACUGAGACACGGUCCAGACUCCUACGGGAGGCAGCAGUGGGGAAUAUUGGACAAUGGGCGAAAGCCUGAUCCAGCCAUGCCGCGUGUGUGAAGAAGGUCUUCGGAUUGUAAAGCACUUUAAGUUGGGAGGAAGGGCAGUAAGUUAAUACCUUGCUGUUUUGACGUUACCAACAGAAUAAGCACCGGCUAACUUCGUG
rnacentral:rRNA from 1 species